AUUGAACGCUGGCGGCAGGCCUAACACAUGCAAGUCGAGCGGAUGAAGGGAGCUUACUCCUGGAUUCAGCGGCGGACGGGUGAGUAAUGCCUAGGAAUCUGCCUGGUAGUGGGGGAUAACGUCCGGAAACGGGCGCUAAUACCGCAUACGUCCUGAGGGAGAAAGUGGGGGAUCUUCGGACCUCACGCUAUCAGAUGAGCCUAGGUCGGAUCAGCUAGUUGGUGGGGUAAAGGCCUACCAAGGCGACGAUCCGUAACUGGUCUGAGAGGAUGGUCAGUCACACUGGAAGUGAGACACGGUCCAGACUCCUACGGGAGGCAGCAGUGGGGAAUAUUAGGCGAUGGGCGAGAGCCUGAUCCAGCCAUGCCGCGUGUGUGAAGAAGGUCUUCGGAUUGUAAAGCACUUUAAGUUGGGGGGAAGGGCAGUACGUUAAUACCUUGCUGUAUUGACGUUACCGGCAGAAUAAGCACCGGCUAACUUCGUG
rnacentral:rRNA from 1 species